AUUGAACGCUGGCGGAAUGCUUUACACAUGCAAGUCGAACGGCAGCACGGACUUCGGUCUGGUGGCGAGUGGCGAACGGGUGAGUGAUGUAUCGGAACGUGCCCAGUCGUGGGGGAUAACGUAGUGAAAAUUACGCUAAUACCGCAUACGAGCUAUGGAUGAAAGCGGGGGAUCGCAAGACCUCGCGCGAUUGGAGCGGCCGAUAUCAUGUUAGGUAGUUGGUGGGGUAAAGGCCCACCAAGCCAACGAUCUGUAGCUGGUCUGAGAGGACGACCAGCCACACUGGAACUGAGACACGGUCCAGACUCCUACGGGAGGCAGCAGUGGGGAAUUUUGGACAAUGGGCGAAAGCCUGAUCCAGCCAUUCCGCGUGCAGGAUGAAGGCCCUCGGGUUGUAAACUGCUUUUGUACAGAACGAAAAGGUUUCUACUAAUACUAGGAGCUCAUGACGGUACUGUAAGAAUAAGCACCGGCUAACUACGUGCCAGCCGCCGCCGUAA
rnacentral:rRNA from 1 species